rnacentral:lncRNA from 1 species
CCUGAGGAUCAUGUUGCAGAAAAGUGGAGAACCAACAGGCACUGGAUAAUAGAGUUUAAUAAACUUUUGGCAUCUGAUUCUCGCAUUCAAAUUUGCCUUGCACCUUUGGGUGAUGGAAUGACCAUCUGCAAGAGAUUGAUCUGAAAUACCACUAAGAUAUCACUGCAACACCCCGAAGCUUUGCAAGAUUGAAGAGUUGUCCCAUUAGAAUAACCAUAUGCAUAGAAAUUUAUAAGCGAAGUUUGAGAACGCGAUAUUGUUAUGUUUGAUCAUCUUGUAUAGAAAUUUGGAAGACUUGCAGCUUGACGAUCUUAAAUUUAUAUGUUGCGAGUCUCUUUGUAACAGUGACAGUAUAUGACAAUCUUUGUAAGAUUCAUAUUAUAUUUCAAAUUAAUUCUUUACCAUUGGUUGAUAUACAAUAUUCAAUUUUUAAUCAAAAUAUGUAUCGGUUCGAAACAAUUUGGAUCGGCCGAAAUCGAAUCAGUCUGGUUGGUUGUGUCAACCCAUGUCACCCGUCACCCACCCUGCAUGACAUUACUCGUUUGAGGUUCAUUUUUGGUCUUCAAUUUAUCUCGGACUCACAAGAACCUUAUCAAGACUCCCGACAAAAUUUUCAUUAGAAUCCUAAUAAGCCCUAUCUCAUUCGUGUAUAUUUUGAUGGAUCCAUUCCCGAGUCCUACAACUCUUUCCAUUUCUUUUUAUCAUUGAUUUCAAGCAAAUACUUUCAUAUAUAAUUUUCAGAUAUCUCCAAAAUAUAUCAGCAUGACCCCAUUAAGUGUACAUGCGAAUACUACCAAAUAUACAUGCGAAUAGUACCAAAUAUACAUGCUAAUAUUUCAAAAUAUAAUUCUUAGAUACCUUCAAAUCUAAGUUCAUUCAACUCUGAAUUCCAAGGCAAAAAAAAAAAAAAAAAGACUUAUCACUUUAUCAGGCAUCUCUCCCCAUCAAAAUUCCUGCUUCCUUAGCUUGGUAUCAUGAUCCAUGUAUUCAUAUAUGUUUUAAGAGGUUAAGAAUUCUACCUAGUUCUCUGGAAGCUAAUUCUAGUGUUUCUUUUAGUUUCCUGGAUCAUGUUUGCUUUCACAGCUUUUAUUUCAUUAUAUUUCUCUGCACAAAUAUGGGUCUCUUGUACUAAAAUUAAGUACAUGAGUUAUGUUUGGUUUGGUUUGGUUUGUUUUGUCAAGGGACUAAGUAUGUAAUAGAUGUGUGAAUUUAAAUAUGAAAUCUUUGUCCAUGAUUGCUUCAUUUAGUUUAUGUUUGUGAAAGAGAUAAGUUAGAAUUUGAUGAAAAGGUUAGUCUUUGUCAAUGAAAAAGUGGCUUGUUUCUUUAUAUUCCUUCAAUUUUUUUAUGAUUCUCUUCGUGUUGGAAUGAGUUUGUCUGAUGCUGAUAUUGCAAUGCAUCAAUUCUUUUAGUAGUAUAUGAUAAUGGCCAUUUUUGUCGAUUGAAAAACACAUAAUGUUAGAACAGGUUGCUUUGGAUGGGUCGGUCUAGAGAUCUAACAUGUUUUUGUGGACAUUUGAUUUUGACAAAUAAAAGUGGACUAAUGAAAUUAAGGACGAAAAUUAUGUUCUGAAGUAGUGGUAAUCUUGAUUGUUGUCAAAGUUUAUCGCCUUUUUCUGUCAGUACAAGUUACAUUAAUAUAGAAAUGUUCCUGAUGCAUUUGAUGAUGGUGCUUUUGUGAAGUUUCCCACAUAUUAAUAUCUUUGUCUGUUUUAGAUUUUGCAAGACUUGUAUUUGAAAUUAACAAGAGUAAUGGAAAACAAAAAGAAGGAAUUGCUUGGACCAAACAAAGGUUUAUUGCAGAGCCCAGAGUUGUAUCAGGUAAAACUCUAAUAUAGCCUCAUCUCAUCCCUGUCUAUUAUUCUCCAUUUGGUAUGUAGCGAAAUCACCAAAUCUGGAUUUCACAACUAUGAUGCAGUAUAUCCUAGAGAGUAGUGUGUUACCAAACGAACCAGAGCUUCUUGAGGAGCUAAGGGCUGUCACAGCAAGCCAUCCCAGGUAAAUUUAUCUUUUGUCUAUAAUUCGUACAUGCUGAGAAGGAUAGGUCUAAUGCUUCCAGUACGAGCUUUUCCUGAUAUCGGCCUUUUCCCUAGUAUCUGAAAUAUGAAUUAACCUUCAGAAUAAGGACUAAUUAGUUAAUUAGUUUGAAGUUUUAGUAUUCUGAGACUAACAAAUAUGACUAUAUGAGCUUUUCGGAUCCAAGAAAAUAACAACUUUGCUGGAAUUUCUUUUAGGGCCUAUAUGGGAACAGCCCCGGAUGCAGGCCAGAUGGUGUCCAUGAUCUUACAGCUGGUAGAUGCUAAAAGAACUAUUGAAAUUGGAGUCUUUACUGGAAAAGAUAUUUACAAUCUAUUUAAUUGCUAAAAAAAAAUAUACAGGAGUAUUGCCCGAGAUGUUCUACCUACUAAAAACGAAUCAAAACGAAUCAAAACAAACAGGCACGUUUGGUUUUUUUAUUAUCCGUGCAUUAUUAAAUGUGUGUGAAUAUUACUACUACCAAAACUUUUGUCAGAUAUCUCCAGAUAAUAACGUGUGCAUUAUUAUGUUCAUUCAACUGUGAAUUCCAAUCAAAAGAAAACCAUCAGGUACUAUUUCCCUUCAUCAUUAUCCCUGCUUCUUAGCUUAGUAUCAUCAUCAAUGUAUUCAUAUAUGUUUGAGGAGUUUUAUUAACUCUAGCUAGUUUUCUGUAAAUUAGUUCUGGUAAUUCUUUUUGUUUCCUGGAUCAUGUUUGCUUUCAUUUAAUUGUAUUUAGUGCACAAACAAAUCAUGAUUUAAGCUCUCUUGAACUUAAAAGAAGUGAUUGUAUAUAGCCCAUGAACCAAUGACAAACCAGCUAUGUUUGUCCCAUGAUUACUUCGUUUAGUUUAAGUUUGUGUAAGAGAAGAGUUAAAAUUUGAGGGAAAGAGUGAGUCUUUGUCAAUGCAAAAGUGGCUUGAUUCUUUAUUUUUUUUCUUCUUCUGAUGUUUUUCAGGAAACAAAGUUGAAAAGUCGAUAUAGGAAUCAAUCUUUUUGGUAGUAUAUACUGUUCUAUGAGUUGAUCAUAAGAAUGGGCAUUGAAAACAUAUGAUAAUGGACAUUUUUGUCGAUUUGGAAACACAAAAUGGUAGAAUGUGUUAGAUGGUUCAUUCUAGGUAAAGCUAGUGUUUGUGGACAUUUGAAUUUGGACAAGUAAAAGUGGACUAAUGAAAUUAGAGAAGGCAUCCGUGUGCUCAACUAGUGCCGAUCUUGAUUAAUGUUGUGAAAGUUUAGCGAUUUUUCUGUCAGUAUAAGUUACAGUAACAUAGAAAAGUAGCGCUAAUUGUUAUGCGGAUUUGUGAAGUACAUUUGAAUGUUCCUGAUGCAUUUCGUGAUGGUGCUUAUGUGAAGCUUACCGCAUAUUACUAUCUUUGUCUGUUUUAGAUAUUGCAAGACUUGUAUUAGAAAUUAGCAAGAGUGAUGGAAAAAGGCAUAUUGCAGAGCCCGGAGUUGUAUCAGGUACAAUUCUAAUAUAGCCUCAUCUCAUCUCUGUCUAGUAUUCUCCAUUUGGCAUGUGGUUAAAUUACCAAAGCUAAAGAUUUCACAACUAUGAUGCAGUAUAUCCUAGAGAGUAGUGUGUACCCAAAUGAACCAGAGCCUCUUAAGGAGAUAAGGGCUGUCACAGAAAGCCAUCCCAGGUAAAUUUAUCUUCUGUCUGUAAUUGUUACAUGCUCAGAAGGAGGCCUAAUGCUUCUGGUACGGUACUAGCUAUUCAUUGUUCAGUUAUUACUUAUUAGGCGAACCAUCAAAUGAUAUAUCAGCCUUUUCCCUGGUAUUUGAAAUAUGGGUUCAAGCUUCAGAAUAAUGAUUUAGUUUAUUACUUUGAAGUAGUGUUCUGAGACGAAAAAAUAUGAGCUUUUUGGAUCAAGAAAAUAACUACUUUUCUGGAAUAUCUUUUAGGGCCUAUAUGGGAACGGCCCCGGAUGCAGGCCAGAUGAUGUCCAUGCUCUUACAGCUGUUAAAUGCUAAAAAAACCAUCGAAAUUGGAGUCUUUACUGGAUAUUCCCUGCUCUGCACUGCUCUGGCAAUUCCAGACGAUGGCAAGGUUCUUCUCGUCUUCUAAAAUUUCAUUAGUAUCUAAUAUGCACAUGCAUGUAUAUGCAUUCUUGAAUCUCGCUCAUCAAUUUUGACAUGGCAAGCAGAUUAUAGCAGUAGAUUUGGAUCUUGAUGCAUAUGAGAUUGGUUUGCCAAUUAUUAAAAAGGCCGGAGUAGAACACAAAAUUAACUUCAUUCAUUCCGAGGCCUUGCCAGUCUUAAAUAACCUCCUUGAAACUGUAAGUUGUAAUCAUCUCAUUUUGUGCCAAUAAUCCCAGACUAUAUAUCUUAACUUAAUCUGAAUUCUCCAGCAGUCUGACAAUGAAGGAAGUUUUGAUUUUGCUUAUGUUGACGCUGACAAGAUAAAUUACCGCAACUAUCAUGAAAGACUGUUGAAAUUGUUGAAAGUUGGUGGCAUAGUUGUGUAUGAUAACACACUCUGGGGAGGGAGUGUUGCAAUGCCUGAGGAGCAGGUUGCAGAAGUGUGGAAAUCCAACCGGAACUCGGUAAUCGAGUUUAAUGAAGUCUUGGCAUCUGAUUCUCGCAUCCAAAUUUGCCUUACACCUUUGGGUGAUGGAAUGACCAUCUGCAGGAAAUUGAUCUGAAAUGCUGCUCAGAUAUCCUUGCAACAUCCCGAGGUUUUGCGAGAAUAAUUUGAAUUAUGUAUGAAUUUUCCAUUAAGUACUGGC